rnacentral:lncRNA from 1 species
CGCCUGGGUCCGUGUGCUGUUGUAGGAUAAGGGGUGCCACCUCCUCCGUGUGUCUGUGCUCGGGGUUGCAGCACUUCACGGAGGUCUGUGUCAUACCGCCUAUUGCUGGCACUCGGCAGCGGCACAGUCUGGGGUGUACUUCAAAACGGAGCUCGCUCUUGUGAGGUGAGACUGCGCUUCGCUUCUUGUGUAGAUUAAAGUUCGGUCGGUAGCGCCAAACCUCGACCAUCGGUCCCUUCAGGAACUGUGCCUUCGUGCUCCCACCCUGCAGCAGCUCCCACCGGGCUCAGGUACGCUCCCAGGAGGUCCCCGGUGUGCGGGGUGUCUGUGUGCAGUGACACGAGGCCUCCUGGGCUGCCCACGGCGGGUGGGAGAAGCCUGGGCUCCCCCAUGGCGGGCGCUGAGAACUUUCUGUCACAGCGGUGACAUUCAGGGCUAACAAUGCUGGGAAGUUUUUCUGGAAUUCUUGGGGAUUCCUGUCGUAUCCCGUUGGGUUCGUGCUUUGUAUUGGUUCUGCUCACCUGAUAUCUGUAUGUCUGAUAUCUGGCUGCGGGAGAGGUUUGUGAGGGCUGGUUGUAUUUUAAGUGGUUGCCCAGAGAGGAGGGAUGCAGGUAACGGUGGAAGUGUUCUCACAGACUCUUAUUUGCCUCCACCCCAAGGCCAGCUGGAUGUGGUGUCUCAGUGUGCGUUCGUAUGUGAACACCAGUUCUGAUUUACAUCUGUCACAGCAUUAAAAGGGAACGAUUUUUGAAUGUGCUGCCUUGUGUAGGGUAGGGGAAACUCUAAUUAUGUGGUAUAACUCUCUUGAGGUGGGGGGAGAAAGGGUUAGUACCUUUAUUUUUCUCAGGCUACUUAGUAUGCUGGGAGUUGGACUUGUUCUGUAUGGGUUGCUUCCAACUUAGGAUAUUCUGUGAUUUUAUAUAGAUGGGCAGAUGGUGAUGACCCAUGAGGCCGUAAUCUGUCACUGUAGGGUUGUACCAUUAGCAUUUUCUCAGAAGCAUAAUUAAAAAUAUUAAUUUAAUUGCAAUACUGGGUAGCAUAAAAGCAUCAGUGGGAUUCAUCAUGGAAGCAUGACUUAAAUUGGAGACCAGUUAAACUUGGUCACGGCAGCAUUUUAAGUCUUAUUUAGAUAUGUGUGGACAUUUUAAUUAUGUGUCAGUCAGCAUGUAGAUUGUUUAGAGGCAGGAAACCCCAUCUGUGUUUCCAUCUAGCUUUGCAAGAUAGGUCCAUAAAUAAGUCAGUAAUGUAAGCAGAAAAUACUUAUUGUAUAGGAAGCUUUUUUUUUUUUUUAGACAAUUGAUCAAUGUGUGUUCAGAAACAUCAGUGUAAUGACUCGUUCAUGUGGCAUUAACCUAGGCAUUAAGCUUUCUCUUUGCAGCCUAGCCUCUCUUUGCUCUAUCAGGCUUGCACAGAGUUGAGAUUAUGUAGAAUUUCAGAUUAAUGCAGCCUUCAGCAUGACAUACAGCUACAAAUGACAGCAAAAUGGUUAAACUCCUACUGGCAGUUCUGCUAGCAAUCUCGUGCCCCAUCAUCCCGACUGCCCAAACUUGAAGACUGGGUUAUUUUGAGCUGUUCAAAAUUGAUGUCAACAAGUAAUCCUCAUUUUGACUGUAUGAAUUAGAAUCCAAGCGUCCUGGUACUAAGAUGGAACUAAACUGCAGUUUGGCAGCUGGAAAUGGCUGGCUUAGCUGUACCAGAGUUCUUCAUUUAAAUAUUUUUGUUAAGUAGUACUACAGAUAAAGAAGGGAAUGAGGAAAAAGUGGAGAGUGUUCUUUUUUUUCUUAACACAGCUCAUGAAGGGCUUAUUACUUCACUUGUCAAAUGGUCUAGUUUGGAAAAAGCAAUUAAAGAAUACAAUUUUAAUUCUAAAAUGUCAGUUGAAUGGAAUUUGUUACACCUUAAAAAAGAGCUUUCAUCUUCUAAUUAAGGCCUCAAACAUUUGUAAUUCAGGCACUUCACUUUUUCAUAGCACUUCUUGCAUAGCUGACAGUGCUGUAAACUGCAGAGGGUUUGAUUGAUUUUUGUGACUGUAACACUUGUCAACUUAGGGAGGUUUUUAUUCAUUUGCAUCAGCUGCUCUCAUGGAUGCAUUUGAUUCUCUUGAAACUUCUUUGAAAUAGAAGGUUAAUAACAGGACUCAUCCCUUUGGUGUCUAACAGCUAAAUGCUUUAGAAGAAAAACUGCAUUACUGCUAUUCUGAAAACAUGACUUCAUGGAUAUUUUCCUUUUUCCUUUUGUGGUACAAGUAGGAGCUUUGUAUUCAAACUGGAGUUUUCAAACCUGGUAUUUUUCAAAAGAAGUGUGGUUUUCUAUUUUCCCCUCUUCCUUUGCUUGUGUCCCAUUUAUGCAGAAACACUUGUUCUGGUGACAGAUAUCAGAGAGGUAAAGGUUUGGAGGGAGUGCAGUAGGGGAUGAAUGCAAUGACGUCUGGAGAAGAAACCGUCUUCAGGAAGGGCUGACCUUGGCUCAAGAAUGCAGAAACAAUUGUAGAUUUCAUUUAUUUUUUUUUAAUUUUUUUUUAAUCAAGAAAUCUUGUCUGCAAACCAGACAAGAUUGCAGCUCUUUGCAUCUCCUGCUAUGUGGCAGGUAUAAUUAAGUUGGUGUUUUUCCCUUUGGUUAUUUGAAUUUUCUCUGAUAUAAUCUGUCCUGCUUGCUCUUAAAACAAGGAUACUUUAAGGCUGAGUUGCGCACACUGGAUGUAAUGAGGGUUAGG